rnacentral:ncRNA from 1 species
UUGAGCCGUGUGAAGUGAAAGUUUCAUGCACGGUUCUUAGGGGGGAAAGGGGCUGUGAAGCCCCUGACCUACCCGAU